rnacentral:lncRNA from 1 species
UACGUCAUAGCUCCAUCAGCCAUUUUAUUUCCUGUUAGAAGGUAAAGAUACAAAGAGUACAAAAGAAUUAUCAUGACCAGACCAUUGCCUUAUCCUUACACCUUUGGGGCACAAGUGAUGCAAUUCCCCUUCAAGUGGAUGUGGAAAAACAACAUUCCUCUCCGACUGUACGUCAUUGGAGCAAUCCCAACAUUUGUUCUUUUCAACUACAUCACCUAUAAGCAUCCAUUAAGAAAUGCUCCCAAGAAGCCAGAUGCACACUAAUAAGUUGUUCUUCUACUCUAAUGUAUUGAGACUUUAGUUUAUUAUGUAGUACAGUGUUGUUUUUUUAUCAUUUAAAAAGAUGUAAGGACUCCCGUCAUUCGCUCAUGGUCUUCACUUCACGUAAUAUAUAUCGAGUAAAGAAAAACGCAAUAAGACCUUCUUAAGCAUUUAUUCAUAAUGUAUUUAUUAACAUCAGUUACAAAUAAAUUGACAUCUUCCAUCUCCUAAAA